CAGUCGUACCGGCGGAUAAUCAGCCUUUCGGGUGCGAUUCUGUGGGGCGUGAGGAGCUUAACCGCCUUCAUGUUUUGCAUAUUCGUGCACAUUUGGUGUACUUGUCCGUGUGGUGGGUUAACAUCAAUUUCGGUCGUCAUAAAAUGAUUAGAGGAAUGUAGCUUUGGUCUCGUAUCGAAGUGUUAUAGCCUCUGGUAGAUGUGGUGAUUGGGACUGAGGAUUGCAACGGAUACCCCUUCGGGGCUACCCGUCUGAUCUCUGAAGGUUGCUCCGGUGCCGAAAGCGUGCUUACGGUCAUCGAAAGUGAUUUUCAAAAGGUUAGAACGGGUUAAAUUCGUUAAGGAUGUUGACGUAAUGGCUUUAAACGA
rnacentral:rRNA from 1 species